UGUUUAACUCACACAAAGUUUAUUAAAGUAGAUGUACUGCAUCUACUACUACCAAAUAAUAACUAACAGAUUUCUGCAGGGAAUUUAUCCAGACAUCUGAUUGGUUGUAAAUGUUUUCUCCGUUGAGAAAGGUGUUGGGGGUUGUCAUAACCUACCACAUACUGCAUUAUAUUUAUCUUUUCAGGAUAGCAGACGUAACCUUGAAGAGCUCCAUGUGUCUGAUUCCAAGAAUAAUACAUGACAUUCCUCACACUGAAAGAUGGGACACAGCAGUGCUUCACGUUCCUGUCUUCACUGUUCCAUCACACCUGAUUCAGCUCAUGAUGCGCUCGAUAAUUACCGAAGUUUUGUCGUAUGUGUCAACGGGUAAAAUGAUUGACUCUGUAGCUUUCCCGGAAUAGAAACAGAAUCGCUUCUUGUGAAGAACCAAAAGCGGCCGAUCAUCAAGAUCAACAUACCGGAAUGCACCACAAACUACAAACAUGGCAGACGACUACAACUCCCAAAGCUACACUCCGACACGUCACCUCCUCACAGUCGGAGGUCAACAUGGGGACCUCAGACCCAGAGCUCCAGCACGAGACCCACGAGGUAGUCUCAUCUCCAGUACUCCAGCAUGCGGCCCACAAGGCGACCCCCCACGUGAAGUUCCAGUCGAAGGCCGACAAGACGGCCUCCCAAGCCAUGUUCCUGUCUGAGGUCGACGAGACGGCCUUCCAAGCCAUGUUCCUGUCUGAAGUCAGCAAGACAGCCUCCCAAGUCAUGUUCCUGCUAUAGGUCAUCGAGAUGACGUCACAUGCCAAGUACCUGUCUGAGGUUGAUGAGAUGGCCUUCCGAGCAAUGUACCUGU
ensembl:lncRNA